rnacentral:misc_RNA from 1 species
AACCUAGCACACCUGCGGUGUGUACCUGCGGAGGGAUCAUUACAGAGUUGCAAAACUCCCUAAACCAUUGUGAACGUUACCUAAACCGUUGCUUCGGCGGGCGGCCCGGGUCCUUCCCGGCGCCCCUCGGCCCUCGCGGGCGCCCGCCGGAGGUAAACCAAACUAUUGCAUUGUAUGGCCUCUCUGAGUCUUCUGUACUGAAUAAGUCAAAACUUUUAACAACGGAUCUCAGAUCGGAAG